rnacentral:rRNA from 1 species
AGUGAACGCUGGCGGCGUGCCUAACACAUGCAAGUCGAACGAUGAUUGAGAGCUUGCUCUCAUGAUUAGUGGCGCACGGGUGAGUAUACCAUAGAUAAUGUACCUCUUAGUUCGGGAUAGCCACUGGAAACGGUGAUUAAUACCGGAUACUCCUUCUUGUCUCAAGGCAAGUCGGGAAAGUUUUUUCGCUAAGAGAUCAGUCUAUGUCCUAUCAGCUAGUUGGUGAGGUAAUGGCUCACCAAGGCAAUGACGGGUAUCUGGUUUGAGAGGAUGAUCAGACACACUGGAACUGAGACACGGUCCAGACUCCUACGUGAGGCAGCAGUGAGGAAUAUUGCACAAUGGAGGAAACUCUGAUGCAGCAACGCCGCGUGGAGGAUGACGCAUUUCGGUGUGUAAACGCCUUUUAAGAGGGAAGAUAAUGACGGUACCUCUUGAAUAAGCACCGGCUAACUCCGUGCCAGCCGCCGCAGUAA